AUUCUACUCCCUCCGUUGCNUUGCACAAUACAUGCCUUCUAUUUGUCAAAAUAUAUAUGUAUCUAGACAUGUUUUAGUAUAUAGGUACAUCCAUUUUUGGACAAAUGGAAGUCAAGUAUUUUGGAACGGAGGGAGUACACA
rnacentral:pre_miRNA from 1 species